UACGAAGGGGGCUAGCGUUGCUCGGAAUUACUGGGCGUAAAGCGCACGUAGGCGGCUUCUUAAGUCGGUGGUGAAAUCCUGGAGCUCAACUCCAGAACUGCCUUCGAUACUGGCGAGCUUGAGUUCGGGAGAGGUGAGUGGAACUGCGAGUGUAGAGGUGAAAUUCGUAGAUAUUCGCAAGAACACCAGUGGCGAAGGCGGCUCACUGGCCCGAUACUGACGCUGAGGUGCGAAAGCGUGGGGAGCAAACAGG
rnacentral:rRNA from 1 species